CUCAAUAUAAACAUAACUCUAAAAACGUUUUUCCCCAAAUUAAAAUGCUCUCCUAGUUACUCUUUGCCUAUAUCACUACUCAAAAAUUAAACCCUACUUUCUCUCCUUCUCAUUUCCACCCCAAAAAGUCUCCAUUGUAACUUUGUCGAUGUUUGGUUGUGAUUUCCUUAAUCGUGCUUCACCUUUAUGGGAGAGACUAAAGAAAUAAUUCGAAGAAUUCCAGAUCUGGAGGAAUCGAAGAAUCUACAAGAACUCAGGUAAAAGCUUCUCUUUGUCCCAAUUUAGAGAGCUCUGGUAGGAGCAACUCUUCCCAGAUCAAUCUAAGAAAAGAGUGCCCAAAUCACAUACGGAGGUUCAGUGAAGUUUCUGCUCACAAUUUUCUCUUCGGUUUCUGCUCAUACUUAUGCCGUUGGAUAGAACAAUCCAUUUCUAUGUUAAUUGCUCGUAAUAUUUUGAAAAAUAUUUAGACACUUUUAUGGUUCAGUUUUGGUUGCUAAUGUGUUUGAGAUGAAUAUUUGUUCAUUUCGUUUUUCUUACAGUACCCGACUAUAUUGUCUUAUGGUCCUCCUUGAAUGGGAAGAUGACGACCCUUUAGGGUUCUUUUUUGUACCCACUUCUCAGUGGUUAUCAUUGCCCACCAUUUAAGAUCAAAAUCCUUGAUAAAGUAGAUUCAAUGACUCAUGAUGCUCGAGUUUGGUUGAGAUCAUGUGGCAUGGCAUCAUUUUACAUCUCUUUCGAUGUGAAUAUUUCUAGAGAUCUCCACGAGCCUGCUCUCGUAAUUGGGGGAUGCUUUGUCUUGGUAGCAUUGAUCCUAUCGCUUCUCUUAAUUUUUCAGCAUCUCAGAUAAUAUACUAGUCUGGUGGGGUGAGCGACAGGUUGUUGAACUGCUCGAAGAUGAAUCGAGGAAACAAAUCAGCCAGUCAUUGCAGUGCCAACACUUCAACACAUAUAUUCUUAUGUUUGGAAUGCACUGCCUUCAAGAUGGAUUAGCUUUGCAAGUGAUUCUUUGUUUCUUUUAGAUGUCUCCUGUCUUUAAAAUGCUAAAAUUUAUAAAGAGUUGUCUUCCAGUAGUCCAUUUAUGCCUAAAGAGUUGUAUCUGCAAUGCAACCUGGUAUGGGUUAUGUGCAGGAGGGGUCUCUGUUGUUGUGUGUCAAAAAGUGAUGGGAAUGGAAACAAGUUAAGGACUAUUGCUUCAGCCAUUAGAGCAGCACUGCUUUCUUCAGAUGCUUAGGGAUUUUUCAUUGGAGAUUUAUGUCAAGAGAGCUUCAGUUUAUGGAAAAUGUCGGUAAUUUAAUUUGAAUUGCAUGUAGCCAAAAGUAAACUUGAUCUAUUGUAGUGAACGAUGAAAGAGUUUUUGUACUAUUGUCAUAUACAUUUGAAUGCAUUUGGUUUUUUUGGAAUUUAUUGAUAGUAGAGAUAUUUAAGCAAUCACUUUCUAAGUAUUGGUUGUACAAGACAUGUUUCUCGAAGUUUAUUUGAAAUAUAUAGCUUCGAUUUAAUUAUUA